GGAGGAAUAUUGGACAAUGGGCGCAAGCCUGAUCCAGCCAUGCCGCGUGCAGGAAGACGGUCCUAUGGAUUGUAAACUGCUUUUGUACGGGAAGAAACACUCCUACGUGUAGGAGCUUGACGGUACCGUAAGAAUAAGGAUCGGCUAACUCCGUGCCAGCAGCCGCGGUAAUACGGAGGAUCCAAGCGUUAUCCGGAAUCAUUGGGUUUAAAGGGUCCGUAGGCGGUUUAAUAAGUCAGUGGUGAAAUCU
rnacentral:rRNA from 1 species